rnacentral:rRNA from 1 species
AACGAACGCUGGCGGCGUGCUUAACACAUGCAAGUCGAACGGAAAGGCCCUGCUUUUGUGGGGUGCUCGAGUGGCGAACGGGUGAGUAACACGUGAGUAACCUGCCCUUGACUUUGGGAUAACUUCAGGCAACUGGGGCUAAUACCGGAUAGGAGCUCCUGCUGCAGGGUGGGGGUUGGAAAGUUUCGGCGGUUGGGGAUGGACUCGCCGCGUAUCAGCUUGUUGGGUGGGUAGUGGAUUACCAAGGCUUUGACGGGUAGCCGGGCUGAGAGGGUGACCGGCCACGUCAGGACGGAGAUGCGGCACAGCCUACUACGGGACGGAGGGGUGGGGAAGGUUGUACAAGGGGCGGGAGCCUGGUGCAGCAACGCCGCGCGGGGGAAGAGGGCAUGCGGGUAGGAAUGCGCAGUCGCCUGUGACGAAACGUGAGUGACGGUAACGGGUAAAUAAGCACCGGCUAACUACGUG